rnacentral:rRNA from 1 species
CCUACGGGUGGCAGCAGUGAGGAAUAUUGGUCAAUGGACGAGAGUCUGAACCAGCCAAGUAGCGUGAAGGAUGACUGCCCUAUGGGUUGUAAACUUCUUUUAUAAAGGAAUAAAACGAGGCACGUGUGCCUUUUUGCAUGUACUUUAUGAAUAAGGAUCGGCUCACUCCGUGCCAGCAGCCGCGGUAAUACGGAGGAUCCGAGCGUUAUCCGGAUUUAUUUGGUUUAAAGGGAGCGUAGAUGGGGUGUUAAGUCAGUUGUGAAAGUUUGCGGCUCAACCGUAAAAUUGCAAUUGAUACUGGCAGUCUUGAGUACAGUUGAGGUAGGCGGAAUUCGUGGUGUAGCGGUGAAAUGCUUAGAUAUCACGAAGAACCCCGAUUGCGAAGGCAGAUUACUAAACUGUGACUGACAUUGAUGCUCGAAAGUGUGGGUAUCAAACAGGAUUAGAUACCCGGGUAGUC